GGUGAGAUGGCCGAGCGGUCUAAGGCGUGUGACUCAAGUUCUCAUCUCUUCGGAGGCGUGGGUUCAAAUCCCACUCUCACUA
rnacentral:tRNA from 1 species